rnacentral:rRNA from 1 species
UACAGAGGUGCAAGCGUUGUUCGGAAUUAUUGGCGUAAAGGGCGCGUAGGCGGUGCCACAAGUCACCUGUGAAAUCUCCGGGCUUAACUCGGAGCCUGCAGGCGAAACUGUGGUGCUGGAGUGUGGGAGAGGUGCGUGGAAUUCCCGGUGUAGCGGUGAAAUGCGUAGAUAUCGGGGAGGAACGACCUGUGGCGAAACGCGGCGCACGUGGACCAUAACUG